CAAAACAAAUUUCUCACUCUUUCUUUCCCGCCUUUUUCCUUAGUGAACAGUUUCAAAGAGAAGGCAGCAGCCGACCGUCUGAAACCCAGGUGGGGACCGAGGAAGAAGCCAAAUGACCAGACCUGUGUAAAUACCAGCCCUACAAGAUGAGACCGGAAAGAAAAGAUGGUCAUCGUAGUCCAGAACAUCGUCAGCGUUCAAGUGUGGAACAACUUCAGACUAAUUUACAAAACUUCUUCCCCUUGACCUCCCAGUUAAGGAAUGCCAUACACAUGGGAAUCAACGGUGAAAUGAUCAAGGGCAUCGUUCUGCUUCAGAACAGUGGCACUUAUGCUCAUCCAGAGCCUUGGGGCAAAGAGG